rnacentral:rRNA from 1 species
GAUGAACGCUAGCUACAGGCUUAACACAUGCAAGUCGAGGGGAAACGACAUCGAAAGCUUGCUUUUGAUGGGCGUCGACCGGCGCACGGGUGAGUAACGCGUAUCCAACCUGCCCACCACUUGGGGAUAACCUUGCGAAAGUAAGACUAAUACCCAAUGUGAUCCCACGAAGUCAUCCGAAUGGGAUUAAAGAUUUAUCGGUGAUGGAUGGGGAUGCGUCUGAUUAGCUUGUUGGCGGGGUGACGGCCCACCAAGGCAACGAUCAGUAGGGGUUCUGAGAGGAAGGCACCCCGCAUUGGAACUGAGACACGGUCCAAACUCCUACGGGAGGCAGCAGUGAGGAAUAUUGGUCAAUGGGCGAGGGCCUGAACCAGCCAAGUAGCGUGCAGGAUGACGGCCCUAUGGGUUGUAAACUGCUUUUAUAAGGGAAUAAAGUGGGUCACGUGUGACUUUUUGCAUGUACCUUAUGAAUAAGGACCGGCUAAUUCCGUG